AAACUUUCAUGGCUCGAGGACGAUGAUGGUGAGGGCGCCCUCCACCUCCUCCUUCUUCCUCUCUUCCUUACUUCUUCCUCCCUUCUGCACUCGACCUUCCUCCUUUCUUCCUCUUCCUUUCCUUCCUCUGCCUCAACAGGUAGACAUCCAUUUCCCUUGUUUCCCUUCCUUUACUCUUCGUGUUUCGGUUGUACCUUCCCUGCCUCGGGAAGUAGGAAGAGGAGGAGGAAGAAGACGGGAAAGCAGGGAUAGUAGGAUUCAGGAAGAAGGGAAGAAUUGGGGUUUUCCGGGUGAUCAUUUCAUGCGACGGAGUUGAUCGAGGGAAGCCAUGGCUAUGCAGGGCACGGAUAUUGACCCUGGUGAGUUGGACGAGAUAAUCGCCCGUCUACUCGAGGCACGAUCGUCGUCGAGGGCUGGAAGGCAGGCCCGCCUUACAGAGUCUCAGAUUCGGCAGCUUUGUGUCGCUUCCCGGGAGAUCUUUCUCAGGCAGCCUAAUCUCCUGGAGCUCGAAGCCCCGAUUAAGAUAUGCGGUGACAUUCAUGGGCAAUAUUCUGAUCUUUUGAGGCUUUUUGAAUGUGGAGGGUAUCCUCCUCAAGCUAACUAUCUAUUUUUGGGAGACUAUGUUGACAGAGGCAAGCAAAGUCUUGAGACAAUAUGCCUUCUUCUUGCCUACAAAAUUAAGUACCCGGAGAACUUCUUUCUUUUGAGGGGGAACCAUGAGUGUGCUUCAAUUAACCGUAUCUAUGGCUUUUAUGAUGAAUGUAAAAGGAGAUUCAGUGUUCGUCUCUGGAAAGUUUUCACAGACUGUUUUAAUUGCCUACCAGUGGCUGCGCUUAUUGAUGACAAGAUAUUGUGCAUGCAUGGUGGCCUUUCUCCUGAUCUGACAAGCUUAGAUCAGGUAAAAAGUUUAAGUCGCCCAACAGAUGUACCAGAUGCUGGUUUGCUUUGCGAUCUGCUUUGGUCUGACCCUGGUAAAGAUGUACAAGGGUGGGGGAUGAAUGAUAGGGGAGUUUCUUACACCUUUGGUCCAGAUAAGGUUUCCGAAUUUUUGUCAAAGCAUGAUCUGGAGCUUGUCUGCCGUGCUCAUCAGGUUGUAGAGGACGGAUAUGAGUUUUUUGCAGACAGGCAGCUUGUAACACUCUUCUCAGCACCUAACUAUUGUGGUGAAUUUGACAAUGCUGGUGCAUUGAUGAAUGUUGAUGAAACUCUUAUGUGCUCUUUUCAAAUACUUAAGCCUUAUGAAAAGAAACAAAAUUUCUUCAUGACAACCAGGAUAUGAGGGAUUCAAUGUUGCAAGGGUGUCUCCUGCAGCCAAGCUGAAUCUGUAAAUCAGCCUAUAUCAGAUUUGAUAAGCUCUUGUUACAACACUGCAUCUUACUGAAGAAAAGAGGACCUUUCACUUACCUUUCGUAGUAGAACUUCUAUGGUUUUAUGCAGGUUUCCUGGAGACUAGUUGAUGAGACAGCAUUGCUUCCGGCUGACUUGUUCUAUUAAGAUCCUGUUUGGUUAUGAUCAACAUUUCCUGAAAUUUUUGGAUGUUAGAAACGAAGAACGUUGUGUGUAUACUUUUCUGGCAUUUGGAUGUAAACUAGAAUAACAGAAGUUGUAUAUUUUAAGAAAGCCGGAAAAAUAAAAACCAGCUGUCAACUAGGUCUUUUGUAACCUGGUAGUUGAGCA